rnacentral:sRNA from 2 species
CUUCUUCGAUCUGCUGCGGGCAGAUGUAGUGGAUAUGCGCGUCCAUGCCGCCGGCCGUGAUGAUCUUGCCUUCGCCCGCGAUGGCCUCGGUCGAGGGACCGACGAUGAUGUUGACGCCCGGCUGGGUAUCGGGAUUACCCGCCUUCCCGAUCGCCGCGAUACGGCCGUUCUUGAGCCCGAUAUCGGCCUUGUAGAUGCCGGAGUGAUCGAUAACCACGGCAUUGGUGAUAACGGUAUCGACGGCACCCUGCGCCCGCGUUGCCUGGCUCUGCCCCAUGCCAUCACG